ACACGACUACAUUAGAUACCCGGGUAGUCCUAGCCGUAAACGAUACUCGCUAGGUGUCGGCCACGGUGCGACCGUUGUCGGUGUCGUAGGGAAGCCGUGAAGCGAGCCACCUGGGAAGUACGGCCGCAAGGCUGAAACUUAAAGGAAUUGGCGGGGGAGCACAACAACGGGUGGAGCUUGCGGUUUAAUUGGAUUCAACGCCGGAAAUCUCACCGGGACCGACAGCAACAUGAAGGCCAAGCUGAAGACUUUGCCGGAUUAGCUG
rnacentral:rRNA from 1 species